GUAAGGAAUAUUGGGCAAUGGACGCAAGUCUGACCCAGCCAUGCCGCGUGAAGGAUGACGGCCCUAUGGGUUGUAAACUUCUUUUAUGUGGGAAUAAACCCCCGGACGUGUCCGGGGCUGAAGGUACCAUAAGAAUAAGCAUCGGCUAACUCCGUGCCAGCAGCCGCGGUAAUACGGAGGAUGCAAGCGUUAUCCGGAUUCACUGGGUUUAAAGGGUGCGUAGGCGGAAUGAUAAGUCAGUGGUGAAAUCCUACAGCUUAACUGUAGAACUGCCAUUGAUACUGUCAAUCUAGAGUUUGGUUGAAGUGGCUGGAAUGUGUCAUGUAGCGGUGAAAUGCUUAGAUAUGACACAGAACACCGAUUGCGAAGGCAGGUCACUAAGCCAAUACUGACGCUGAGGCACGAAAGCGUGGGGAGCAAACAGGAUUAGAUACCCGUGUAGUCC
rnacentral:rRNA from 1 species